rnacentral:tRNA from 1 species
CGAAUUAAAGUUUUAUUAAAAAUAUUUCAUUUACAUUGAAAAGAAAUUGAUUUAUUUCAUUUAAUUUGG